AGUUUUAGUAUUUGGAGGCUGACCUGAACUUGGCAUGCUCUAUAUUAGAUUGCUCAACCUGUCUGCUCCACAGAAACUCAACCCGCUAACCACUGCCUGCUGCUUUCUCUUUUCGUGUUAGCAUACACCCAAAGCCACCGUCAGAUGUCAUGGAGAUGAGACUUCACAAGAGAUAGUCCCCAGUAAGCUGCUGGUGACGAAUCAUUGGGAACAAUGUAAAGAUGUUUCUUGGCCUUCCCUAGCAGACAGGAUGCCUGAGUAUGAGGCCUGCCUUGCCCUGCUCCGAGAGCUGCAGUUCAGGGUACACGUGUGGCUUUGGCUUUCGCUUCCUGAGGCUCAUUUGUUUUGAGAAACCCCAAUAAAGAUGGAUGCCUAAGCUGUGCCCUGGCUCUUCU